AGAGAGAGACAUGCGCGCAUAUCAAUAAGCGGAGGAAAAGAAACUAACUAGGAUUCCCUCAGUAACGGCGAGUGAAGCGGGAGGAGCUCAAAUUUGAAAUCUUCAAGGUUCUACCUUGACGAAUUGUAGUUUAAAGAAGUGUUUUCUGUUGGAAGUUUUGGUAAAAGUUCUUUGGAAUAGGACAUCAUAGAGGGUGAGAAUCCCGUAUUUGACCAUUAUUUUCCAGCUGUGUGAUACACUUUCAAAGAGUCGGAUUGUUUGGGAAUGCAGUCCAAAAUGGGUGGUAAAUUUCAUCUAAAGCUAAAUAUUGGCGAGAGGACCGAUAGCGAACAAGUACCGUGAGGGAAAGAUGAAAAGAACUUUGAAAAGAGAGUUAAACAGUACGUGAAAUUGUCAAAAGGGAAGCGUUUGACACCAGUGUUGUUUUCUCGAAAAUCAAUUAAAAAAGGCAGGAUUUUGUGUUGUAUUGACUUUAUCAGCUUUCUGCACUCUUUUCUUGUCUUUUUUUAAUGCACUUUUCGUUUAACAAGUCAACAUCAAUUUCUUUUGUUGUAAAAGGGUCAUUGGAAGGUGGCUUUCUUUUCGGAGAAAGUGUUUAUAGCCUUUGGCCUCUGCAAUCGGAGAGAUUGAGGUCUGCAGCGUAGAUCCUUCGGGGUUAGAUACAUUUGUGCUAAGUUAUAGCCUUUCAUAGACAACUUGUUGACUAUGAUCAGUCAUGUAGCUUACUCGCUUAUGCUAUUUUACCUACGCUUAGGAUGUUGAUGUGAUACUGCGAGCA
rnacentral:rRNA from 1 species